rnacentral:rRNA from 1 species
AUUGAACGCUGGCGGCAGGCCUAACACAUGCAAGUCGAACGGUAACAGGAAGCAGCUUGCUGCUUCGCUGACGAGUGGCGGACGGGUGAGUAAUGUCUGGGAAGCUGCCUGAUGGAGGGGGAUAACUACUGGAAACGGUAGCUAAUACCGCAUAAUGUCGCAAGACCAAAGAGGGGGACCUUCGGGCCUCUUGCCAUCGGAUGUGCCCAGAUGGGAUUAGCUUGUUGGUGGGGUAACGGCUCACCAAGUCGACGAUCCCUAGCUGGUCUGAGAGGAUGACCAGCCACACUGGAACUGAGACACGGUCCAGACUCCUACGGGAGGCAGCAGUGGGGAAUAUUGCACAAUGGGCGCAAGCCUGAUGCAGCCAUGCCGCGUGUAUGAAGAAGGCCUUCGGGUUGUAAAGUACUUUCAGCGGGGAGGAAGGGAGGAAAGUUAAUACCUGUGCUCAUUGACGUUACCCGCAGAAGAAGCACCGGCUAACUCCGUG